rnacentral:rRNA from 1 species
GCCCCGGCUAACUACGUGCCAGCAGCCGCGGUAAUACGUAGGGGGCAAGCGUUGUCCGGAUUUACUGGGCGUAAAGCGCGUGUAGGCGGCCACGCAGGUCCGUUGUGAAAACUGGAGGCUCAACUUCCAGACGUCGACGGAAACCGUGUGGCUAGAGUCCGGAAGAGGAGAGUGGAAUUCCUGGUGUAGCGGUGAAAUGCGCAGAUAUCAGGAAGAACACCAAUGGCGAAGGCAGCUCUCUGGGACGGUACUGACGCUGAGACGCGAAAGCGUGGGGAGCGAACAGGAUUAGAUACCCUGGUAGUCCACGCCGUAAACGAUGGGUGCUAGGUGUGGGAGGUGUCGACUCCUUCCGUGCCGUAGCUAACGCAUUAAGCACCCCGCCUGGGGAGUACGGCCGCA